UAUCUCUCUGUACAGGGAAGGAUGAGAAGCUUCGAUUAAGGUUCGACUCGAGCGGAAGCGAGAGAACGUUGCCAA
rnacentral:sRNA from 1 species